GAUGAACGCUAGCGGCAGGCUUAACACAUGCAAGUCGAGGGGCAGCGAGAGAGUAGCAAUACUUUUGUCGGCGACCGGCGGACGGGUGCGUAACGCGUAUGCAACCUACCUUAUACAGGGGGAUAACCUUUCGAAAGGGAGACUAAUACCGCAUAACAUUACUUUGAGGCAUCUUGAGGUAAUUAAAUCUUCGGAGGUAUAAGAUGGGCAUGCGUAGCAUUAGCUAGAUGGUGCGGUAACGGCGUACCAUGGCGACGAUGCUUAGGGGUUCUGAGAGGAAGGUCCCCCACACUGGAACUGAGACACGGUCCAGACUCCUACGGGAGGCAGCAGUGGGGAAUAUUGCACAAUGGGCGAAAGCCUGAUGCAGCAACGCCUCGUGAAGGAUGAAGGUCUUCGGAUUGUAAACUUCUAUCAGCAGGGAGAAAAAUGACGGUACCUGACUAAGAAGCUCCGGCUAACUACGUG
rnacentral:rRNA from 1 species